UACGUAGGGUGCGAGCGUUAAUCGGAAUUACUGGGCGUAAAGCGUGCGCAGGCGGUUCGUUGUGUCGGCGGUGAAAGCCCCGGGCUUAACCUGGGAAUGGCCGUCGAAACUGGCGAACUGGAGUGUGGCAGAGGGGGGUGGAAUUCCGCGUGUAGCAGUGAAAUGCGUAGAGAUGUGGAGGAACACCGAUGGCGAAGGCAGCCCCCUGGGCUAACACUGACGCUCAUGCACGAAAGCGUGGGGAGCAAACAGG
rnacentral:rRNA from 1 species